GGGGAAUUUUCCGCAAUGGGCGCAAGCCUGACGACGCAACGCCGCGUGGAGGACGAAGAUCUUCGGGUCGUAAACUCCUGUCGAGCGGGAAGAACAGCGUGCGGGUCAAUACCCCGCACGCCUGACGGUACCGCUAGAGGAAGCCCCGGCUAACUCCGUGCCAGCAGCCGCGGUAAUACGGGGGGGGCAAGCGUUGUUCGGAUUUACUGGGCGUAAAGGGCUCGUAGGCGGCCAGCUAAGUCGGUUGUGAAAUCCCCCGGCUCAACCGGGGAACUGCGACCGAUACUGGUUGGCUCGAAGCCGGGAGAGGGAUGCGGAAUUCCAGGUGUAGCGGUGAAAUGCGUAGAUAUCUGGAGGAACACCCGUGGCGAAGGCGGCAUCCUGGACCGGUCUUGACGCUGAGGAGCGAAAGCCAGGGUAGCAAACGGGAUUAGAUACCCCGGUAGUCCUGGCCCUAAACGAUGAAUGCUUGGUGUGGCGGGUAUCGAUCCCUGCCGUGCCGGAGCUAACGCAUUAAGCAUUCCCGCCUGGGGAGUACGGUCGCAAGGUUGAAACUCAAGGAAUUGACGGGGGCCCGUACAAGCGGUGGAGCAUGUGGUUCAUUUCGACCCAACGCGAAGCACCUUACCCAGGUUUGAAGUGCGAGUGACCAUCGGUGAAAGCCGACUUCCUUCGGGACACUCGCAGAGGUGUUGCAUGGCUGUCGUCAGCUCGUGUCGUGAGAUGUUGGGUUAAGUCCCGCAACGAGCGCAACCCUUGUCUGCUGUUGCCAUCAGUUCGGCUGGGCACUCUGCGGAGACUGCCGGUGACAAACCGGAGGAAGGUGGGGAUGACGUCAAGUCAGCAUGACCUUUAUGUCUGGGGCUACACACGUGCUACAAUGGCCGGUACAAAGCGUCGCGAUCCCGCGAGGGUGAGCUAAACGCACAAAGCCGGUCUCAGUUCGGAUUGCAGGCUGCAACUCGCCUGCAUGAAGCUGGAAUCGCUAGUAAUCGCGGAUCAGCACGCCGCGGUGAAUACGUUCCCGGGCCUUGUACACACCGCCCGU
rnacentral:rRNA from 1 species